rnacentral:rRNA from 1 species
AGAGUUUGAUCCUGGCUCAGGACUAACGUUGGCGGCGUGCGUAAUACAUGCAAGUCACACGGGAUUGGGGCAACUCAAUUCAGUGGCGAACGGGUGAGUAACACGUGGAUGAUCUACCCUUAAGAUCGGGAUAACUAGCCGAAAGGUUAGCUAAUACCGGGUAUGACCACGGUCUGUAUCGUCAGAUCGAGGUAAGAGCUGGGGACCGCAAGGCCUAGCGCUUAAGGAUGAGUCCGCGGCUGAUCAGCUAGUUGGCGGGGUAAUGGCCCACCAAGGCGACGAUCAGUAGCCGGCCUGAGAGGGUGACCGGCCACACUGGAACUGAGACACGGCCCAGACUCCUACGGGAGGCAGCAGUAGGGAAUUUUCCACAGUGGGCGAAAGCCUGAUGGAGCAACGCCGCGUGAGGGAUGAAGGUUUUCGGAUCGUAAACCUCUUUGGAGCGGGAAGAACGGCGCUUGGGCGAAUAGUCCAGGCGCGUGACGGUACCGCUAGAACAAGACACGGCUAACUCUGUGCCAGCAGCCGCGGUAAUACAGAGGUGUCAAACGUUGUCCGGAAUUAUUGGGCGUAAAGGGCGCGUAGGCGGCCGGGUAAGUGAGAUGUGAAAGCUCUGGGCUCAACCCAGGAAUUGCAUUUCAUACUGCUCGGCUAGAGAUUGGUAGAGGAUGGCGGAAUUCCAGGUGUAGCGGUGAAAUGCGUAGAUAUCUGGAGGAACACCUGUGGCGAAGGCGGCUAUCUGGUCCAAUUCUGACGCUGAGGCGCGAAAGGUAGGGGAGCAAACAGGAUUAGAUACCCUGGUAGUCCUACCCGUAAACGAUGAGUACUAGGUGUUGGAGGUAUUGACCCCUUCAGUGCCGUAGCUAACGCAAUAAGUACUCCGCCUGGGAACUACGGUCGCAAGACUGAAACUCAAAGGAAUUGACGGGGGCCCGCACAAGCGGUGGAGCAUGUUGUUUAAUUCGAUGCAACGCGAAAAACCUUACCUAGGCUUGACAUGUAGUGACAUCCGGAUGAAAGUUCGGCUUCCCGCAAGGGACACUAACACAGGUGCUGCAUGGCUGUCGUCAGCUCGUGUCGUGAGAUGUUGGGUUAAGUCCCGCAACGAGCGCAACCCCUAUCUCUAGUUGCCAUCAGUUCGGCUGGGAACUCUAGAGAAACUGCCCACGACAAGUGGGAGGAAGGCGGGGAUGACGUCAAGUCCUCAUGGCCCUUAUGUCUAGGGCUACAAACGUGCUACAAUGGCAGAUACAGAGGGUCGCAAGAGCGCGAGCUGGAGCUAAUCCUUAAAGUCUGUCCCAGUUCGGAUCGAAGGCUGCAACUCGCCUUCGUGAAGCCGGAAUCGCUAGUAAUCGCGGAUCAGCAUGCCGCGGUGAAUACGUUCCCGGGCCUUGUACACACCGCCCGUCACGCCACGAAAGUUUGUUGUACCAGAAGACGGUGGGCUAUCCCGCAAGGGAGGCAGCCGGCUAUGGUAUGGCAGAUGAUUGGGGCGAAGUCGUAACAAGGUA